rnacentral:rRNA from 1 species
AUACAGAGGGUGCGAGCGUUAAUCGGAAUUACUGGGCGUAAAGCGCGCGUAGGCGGUUCGGUAAGUGGGAUGUGAAAGCCCCGGGCUCAACCUGGGAAUUGCAUUCCAAACUGCCGGACUAGAGUAUGGUAGAGGGAGGUAGAAUUUCCUGUGUAGCGGUGAAAUGCGUAGAUAUAGGAAGGAAUACCGGUGGCGAAGGCGGCCUCCUGGACCAAUACUGACGCUGAGGUGCGAAAGCGUGGGGAGCAAACAGGAUUAGAAACCCCGGUAGUCC